CGAAAGCCUGACGGAGCAACGCCGCGUGAGGGAUGAAGGCCUCUGGGCUGUAAACCUCUUUUCUCAAGGAAGAAGAUCUGACGGUACUUGAGGAAUAAGCCACGGCUAAUUCCGUGCCAGCAGCCGCGGUAAUACGGGAGUGGCAAGCGUUAUCCGGAAUUAUUGGGCGUAAAGCGUCCGCAGGCGGCCGUACAAGUCUGUCGUUAAAGCGUGGAGCUUAACUCCAUUUAAGCGAUGGAAACUGUAAGGCUUGAGUGUGGUAGGGGCAGAGGGAAUUCCCGGUGUAGCGGUGAAAUGCGUAGAUAUCGGGAAGAACACCAGUGGCGAAGGCGCUCUGCUGGGCCAUAACUGACGCUCAUGGACGAAAGCCAGGGGAGCG
rnacentral:rRNA from 1 species